UCUUUGGGAUUUAAUAGAGCCGGUUGAAAUUGUUUCGUAUACCAGCUAUCUUAAAUUUCAAAAU